rnacentral:rRNA from 1 species
UGGGGAAUAUUGGACAAUGGGGGAAACCCUGACGCAGCAACGCCGCGUGGGUGAAGAAGCACCUUGGUGUGUAAAGCCCUGUCGUCGGGGAAUAAGGUUAACUGAUUAAGAGUUGGUGAAUCUGAAUGUACCCGAAGAGGAAGCCCCGGCUAACUCCGUGCCAGCAGCCGCGGUGAUACGGAGGGGGCAAGCGUUGUUCGGAAUUACUGGGCGUAAAGGGCGCGUAGGCGGGCGACUAAGUCAGAGGUGAAAGGCCUGGGCUCAACCUGGGAACUGCCUUUGAAACUAGUUGUCUAGAGUCCGGAAGAGGAUGGCGGAAUUCCCAGUGUAGAGGUGAAAUUCGUAGAUAUUGGGAAGAACACCAGUGGCGAAGGCGGCCAUCUGGUCCGGUACUGACGCUGAGGCGCGAAAGCGUGGGGAGCAAACAGGAUUAGAUACCCUGGUAGUCCACGCCGUAAACGAUGUGUGCUAGCCGUUGGGAAACCUAGUUUCUCGGUGGCGCAGCUAACGCGAUAAGCACACCGCCUGGGGAGUACGGUCGCAAGAUUA